UACAGGGGGUGCAAACGUUGCUCGGAAUCACUGGGCGUAAAGCGCACGUAGGCGGGUUGUUAAGUCGGGGGUGAAAUCCUGGAGCUCAACUCCAGAACUGCCUUCGAUACUGGCGACCUUGAGUCCGGGAGAGGUGAGUGGAACUCCGAGUGUAGAGGUGAAAUUCGUAGAUAUUCGGAAGAACACCAGUGGCGAAGGCGGCUCACUGGCCCGGUACUGACGCUGAGGUGCGAAAGCGUGGGGAGCAAACAGG
rnacentral:rRNA from 1 species